rnacentral:rRNA from 1 species
GAGGGGUAGCACGAUGUAGCAAUACAUUGGUGGCGACCGGCGCACGGGUGAGUAACGCGUAUGCAACCUACCUAUCAGAGGGGAAUAACCCGGCGAAAGUCGGACUAAUACCGCAUAAAACAGGGGUUCCACAUGGAAAUAUUUGUUAAAGAAUUAUCGCUGAUAGAUGGGCAUGCGUUCCAUUAGAUAGUUGGUGAGGUAACGGCUCACCAAGUCCACGAUGGAUAGGGGUUCUGAGAGGAAGGUCCCCCACACUGGUACUGAGACACGGACCAGACUCCUACGGGAGGCAGCAGUGAGGAAUAUUGGUCAAUGGGCGAGAGCCUGAACCAGCCAAGUCGCGUGAAGGAUGAAGGAUCUAUGGUUUGUAAACUUCUUUUAUAUGGGAAUAAAGUGAGGAACGUGUUCCUUUUUGUAUGUACCAUAUGAAUAAGCAUCGGCUAACUCCGUGCCAGCAGCCGCGGUAAUACGGAGGAUGCGAGCGUUAUCCGGAUUUAUUGGGUUUAAAGGGUGCGUAGGUGGUUAAUUAAGUCAGCGGUGAAAGUUUGUGGCUCAACCAUAAAAUUGCCGUUGAAACUGGUUGACUUGAGUAUAUUUGAGGUAGGCGGAAUGCGUGGUGUAGCGGUGAAAUGCAUAGAUAUCACGCAGAACUCCGAUUGCGAAGGCAGCUUACUAAACUAUAACUGACACUGAAGCACGAAAGCGUGGGGAUCAAACAGGAUUAGAUACCCUGGUAGUCCACGCAGUAAACGAUGAUUACUAGCUGUUUGCGAUACACAGUAAGCGGCACAGCGAAAGCGUUAAGUAAUCCACCUGGGGAGUACGCCGGCAACGGUGAAACUCAAAGGAAUUGACGGGGGCCCGCACAAGCGGAGGAACAUGUGGUUUAAUUCGAUGAUACGCGAGGAACCUUACCCGGGUU